rnacentral:rRNA from 1 species
GACGAACGCUGGCGGCGUGCCUAAUACAUGCAAGUCGAACGCAGUGGGGACGGGUGAGUAACACGUGGGUAACCUCCCAUCAGAGGGGAUAACAUUUGGAAACAGGUGCUAAACCGAUACUGAUGGAUGGACCCGCGGUGCAUUAGCUAGUUGGUGAGGUAAAGGCUCACCAAGGCCACGAUGCAUAGCCGACCUGGGAGGGUGAUCGGCCACACGGGGACUGAGAGACGGCCGAGACUCCUACGGGAGGCAGCAGUAGGGAAGCUGCGGCAAUGGACGAAAGUCUGACCGAGCAACGCCGCGGAAGUGAAGAAGGUUUUCGGAUCGUAAAACUCUGUUGUUAGAGAAGCGGUAUCUAACAAGAAAGCCACGGCUAACUACGUGCCAGCCGCCGCGGUAAUAC